rnacentral:rRNA from 1 species
AUUGAACGCUGGCGGCAGGCCUAACACAUGCAAGUCGAGCGAGCGGCGGACGGGUGAGUAAUGCCUAGGAAUCUGCCUGGUAGUGGGGGAUCACGUCCGGAAACGGGCGCUAAUACCGCAUCCCAUCGGAUGUGCCCAGAUGGGAUUAGCUAGUAGGUGGGGUAACGGCUCACCUAGGCGACGAUCCCUAGCUGGUCUGAGAGGAUGACCAGCCACACUGGAACUGAGACACGGUCCAGACUCCUACGGGAGGCAGCAGUGGGGAAAAUUGCACAAUGGGCGCAAGCCUGAUGCAGCCCUGCCGCGUGUAUGAAGAAGGCCUUCGGGUUGUAAAGUACUUUCAGCGAGGAGGCGUUACUCGCAGAAGAAGCACCGGCUAACUCCGUGCCAGCAGCCGCGGUAAUAC